AGCACAGAGAGUGCAGCCGGCGCACCGGUAGAGUUCGUGCGUCAGAUAUGCGUCGUGCCCUCCUCCUUCUACUCGUGAUGGCGCUCUGCACUUUCACCACCACGCACGCACCUCCGACUUGCCCACCUGGAUAUUUUGAAAUAUCUGAUACUUGCGUUCGCAGGUACGGAUCCAUUCUGACGCCUAAAAUAUGCCCUAACGGACAGUUUGCGGCACCAGGGGGCUGUGCCGCAAUGACAACACCGACACCUCAUCAGGAUUAAUGGGGAAUGAAAGCAACACAAUUGCAGAGUCAGGAAAGCAAGCUCUCCUGGAUGGUGGGGUGUGUCACAGCACCGGCUACACGCAGCAGCGGAUGGCGCGCUAGCGUUCCAGUCCACAGCGGGUCACUGGUUCGACACUCUGACGCCAACACAGGGUCCGCAGCCAGCCAGCAGUGGGCCACACCAUGGCUCGUUACUGUGGGCAGUCUUGUUGGCUCCCAACAUGCACCGGAAACAUCUACAGCGAGGGCCACAGAUUCAGUUGCCAGAUCACUUGUUGUUGCUGCGACCCAAGCCAUGCUGGAUGGGACUCAUGGCGUGGGCCCCCUUUUAGUUGUCAGCAGGCAGUGCGGAGGCAAUGCAGGAUGAAGGCUGCUGAGUCGGCUGCCAGUGCAGCCCUGACGCCAUCAUAUUACUGUGGCCAUACUAGGCAGACACAUUACCUGAGAGCUUGAGAGGUCGCUGAGGCGUCCUCAGCAUUUCUAGAGCUGGUAAUGCAGACGAAGGGGAACACGGCACUGUAGUUGGAAACAAUAAAUCAUUUGGAA